rnacentral:snRNA from 1 species
GUGCUCACUUCAGCAGCACAUACACUAAAAUUGGAAUGAUACAAAGAUUAGCACGGCCCCUGCACAAGGAUGACACGCAAAUUCAUGAAGUGUUCCAUAUUUUU